AGAGUUUGAUCCUGGCUCAGGAUGAACGCUAGCGGCAGGCUUAAUACAUGCAAGUCGAGGGGUAGCAGGGUAGCAAUACCGCUGACGACCGGCAAACGGGUGCGGAACACGUACACAACCUUCCUUUUAGUGGGGAAUAGCCCAGAGAAAUUUGGAUUAAUACCCCGUAACAUAACGAUGUGGCAUCACAUUGUUAUUAUAGGUUUACCGCUAAGAGAUGGGUGUGCGGCUGAUUAGGUAGUUGGCGGAGUAACAGCCCACCAAGCCAACGAUCAGUAGCUGAUGUGAGAGCAUGAUCAGCCACACGGGCACUGAGACACGUGCCCGACUCCUACGGGAGGCAGCAGUAAGGAAUAUUGGACAAUGGACGCAAGUCUGAUCCAGCCAUGCCGCGUGAAGGAUUAAGGCCCUCUGGGUUGUAAACUUCUUUUAUAGGGGACGAAAAAAGGGCUUUCUAGCUCGACUGACGGUACCCUAUGAAUAAGCACCGGCUAACUCCGUGCCAGCAGCCGCGGUAAUACGGAGGGUGCAAGCGUUAUCCGGAUUCACUGGGUUUAAAGGGUGCGUAGGCGGGCAGUUAAGUCAGUGGUGAAAUCUUCGAGCUCAACUCGGAAACUGCCAUUGAUACUAUCUGUCUUGAAUAUUGUGGAGGUGAGCGGAAUAUGUCAUGUAGCGGUGAAAUGCUUAGAUAUGACAUAGAACACCAAUUGCGUAGGCAGCUCGCUACACAAAUAUUGACGCUGAGGCACGAAAGCGUGGGGAUCAAACAGGAUUAGAUACCCUGGUAGUCCACGCCCUAAACUAUGAUUACUCGACAUAUGCGAUACACUGUAUGUGUCUGAGCGAAAGCAUUAAGUA
rnacentral:rRNA from 1 species